rnacentral:rRNA from 1 species
GGUGCUGACGAGUGGCGAACGGGUGAGUAAUGCAUCGGAACGUGCCCAGUCGUGGGGGAUAACGCAGCGAAAGCUGUGCUAAUACCGCAUACGAUCUAUGGAUGAAAGCGGGGGACCGUAAGGCCUCGCGCGAUUGGAGCGGCCGAUGUCAGAUUAGCUAGUUGGUGGGGUAAAGGCCCACCAAGGCGACGAUCUGUAGCUGGUCUGAGAGGACGACCAGCCACACUGGGACUGAGACACGGCCCAGACUCCUACGGGAGGCAGCAGUGGGGAAUUUUGGACAAUGGGCGCAAGCCUGAUCCAGCAAUGCCGCGUGCAGGAAGAAGGCCUUCGGGUUGUAAACUGCUUUUGUACGGAACGAAACGGUCCGGGUUAAUACCCUGGGCUAAUGACGGUACCGUAAGAAUAAGCACCGGCUAACUACGUGCCAGCAGCCGCGGUAAUACGUAGGGUGC